UUCUUCCCUGCAGUGACUGUGUCAAGCAGCGAGGGUGGACCGGCUUCCGGCACUCUAGGUCCUCGGGGCCUUCGAGUCAAGGUCAAAGUGCUGCUUCUACCUGGCACCACCACCUCUCAAGUGCAUGUGUCCACUGCCCUCCAGAGACUCCUAGCAAAAGUGGAUGCUGUCUGAGAACUGGCCCAGGCGGUAUGCAGCAGGGACCAGCGCUCAGAAUCGUGCUGCUGAGAUGUCUGGUGAGGGCACUGCUGUCUCCCCCUCAUCUGGGAGCGGAUGCCACAGCGUGUACCCCUGACAUGAACACCGGAUGCUGUGUUGCCAUAACUCUGAAGCAAGAUUUUGAAGGUGUGCUGCUAUCCCUACCAGGUAAAAACAAAUGAUUUCUGGAUUCUCUGCCUAUUGGGACAGAGAAUGAAGCCUUUGCCAGGGGCUGUGUUGAUUUUCCCCAAUAAAGAAUCACCUGGGAUAGCA